UCCGGUGGCUGGGGUUCUUGGCGCCGCCGGUCGGGUUGGUUGACCCCCCUUCUUCAUGUCCUCGUGCAGUAUAGGAUCACUGGUCACCGGUCCCCUGCGUCGUGGAAGAUCCCCGCUGCCGCCGUGAAGCUACCGCCACAGUCCGCUCUGAAUUCGUUCAUCCACUGGAAGCUACCAUGUUAUGUUCUUUGCAAAGCUGCUGUAGCUGCAGUUUUGAGGAAAUAAGUUCAGCUGCUUACUUCUUGGCAGAACAAGCACAUCAUCGUUGCAGUAAGUCAUUUAUUUGGCAAACAAUUGACACUUCCUGGUUGUUGAGCGCCACCCCGCGGCUGUGAUCUCCCGUUCCGCCCCUCUCCGGAAGCCAGCCGUCUGCUGAUGCAUCUUUCCUGGUGCUGCACGAGCAGAACAGCUCGAGCUUGACAUGUCACAGCGGCCGGCUGUUGGAAGCCAAGGCACUGGUCCACGCCGGCGAGCAAGCCGGAGGAUGGCCUCUGGCUGCUGGAGUGCGGAGCCAGCAGGAGGAUGCACGAGGUUGCUGCGCGCGUAAAGUUUUGCUGAACCACGAGCAGCCUGAAGUUCCACCGCCUGCUGCUAUAACAUGGAGCAAAAACAAAGCUUCUGCUACUACUCGGAUUUGCUAUGUUCUGACUUGCUUGUAGCGCUGUAGCUGUAGCGCUAGUUCUGAGAAACAGAGAAGACAUAUAAAAAACGUAUGUUUGUUACUUAAAGGUAGGAGACAGUAAAAAUAAAAA